CGCAUGGCCAUCCCCGUGAGCUUCCCGGCGCCCCGCCUCGCCCUCUUCUCUAAUUUAGAUUGGUGGCGGCAGGGAGACAUGAGACGUCAGUCAACAUAUGUAAGAGGAACGAUGGAUUGGUCCGGAAAGGUCUCCUUUGAAUCUCAUCAGGGUUCACUCCAUUAGACAAAAGUGCUACCUACAAAUCCCUUUGAGUACCCUGGAUUUGAUAUUUGCUUGGAAAGUAUUAGUAUUUCUUAGUUUUACACCCUUUGCAAUCAGACGAAGCUGAGAACUUUAAAAAUCAUCCAAGUAGUCAAGGUCCGUCCUUUUUGUGUUUCGUCUUGCUUAUCUCAUUUAUUUUACUAUAAACAAACAAACAAAAAAUGGACAGAAGGGAGAGACUUUCAUGGGUGUUGGACAUGUCCUACCAGUUGGUAUGGAUAGAAUAUGCAUGGUUGUAUGGAUGUGUACAAAGUCAUCAAUGUGCACAUUUAAAAUAUAUGCACUGUAUUGUAUUCCUGCUACACCUUCGCUAAAAAAAAAAAAAAGUUGAAUGUGAGCGCGGGCGUGAGAAAACCGCAGCGCGCAUGCGUGAGCGUGAACGCGCUGAGAGGCCGGAAACAAAGGUGGGUGCGCGUGCACAGACGCGCUCGCUGGCCGCCGGAAGCAAAGGCGAGAGCGCGCGUGCGUGCGUGUGCGUGAGCGCGAGCGCGCGGAGGUCGGAAGCGGGCGCUGUA
rnacentral:lncRNA from 1 species